ACAUCCCGUUUUUGAUGCUCUGCACGUGCUGACAUUUGUGAAUUGGUAGUGAAGGUAAGUUGAUUUCACCCCUGACUUAAAUGUUCACUAAAAUCUCGGUGAUGAUUGCUUAUAUUGCAGGAUUGUAAAAGGCUUUAGGAAAAGGUGGUGUCUCUAUGUCAAACUCACGUCACAGUGGCGUCACGUGAUGAAUUGGUACUUUUUUCCCCUUUGCAAAAUGGUGUGGGUGUGGCCAAUCUGUGACGCUUCCGCCCACAGGCCAGGAGUUUGACAACCCUGUUCCAGAUAUUCUUUGAAGACCUGUGUUGCUAUGUUGUUUGUUUUGCCAGUUUGUACAGAUAAUUAUAGAACAUAGUUUAUUCUGCUUUCAAAAAAUAAGAAACAUCUUAUUAAAACAAUUAGUUUAAAUCUGUAUGAAACAUUUUAUGCAAAAAUUGAUAGACUUCAUAGUUAGCUAAAUACCUACUUUUAAAUUAAUUGGUUAUUUUAGUUGUAGCUAAUUUGCAUUCCAGCAUCACUGGCAUUUUCAAACUUAGAGCAAAUAGUGUUGCUGGAUUUUAGAAAAAAAGCUGAGAUAAUUUCUUAAAAAGAGCAUUGACUGUGAUUAUGUGCCUUUCUUUUUACAUUAAUAGGCUUCUGAUUUGCCUGGAAACAUACAUUCACCAUAUUUAGUUUUGUUGAUGGUAUAGGAAAGCUUGCUCAAUACCCUUUAUUGGGUUUCAAUAUCUACAUGAAUGUAUUAGAUUCCCCCCUCUAUAUUCCAUUAGAUGGUAUCUGUAUUUUCUCUGGAAGAUUAGGGAUCUCUCUGAAAAAAUUCGGAGAAAAAAGGAAGUCCUGGAACUCAAAGCUUUAUUCUUGAAGUUCACUCCUUCCAUAUAUUUUAUUUGGGUGCAAUUGACAAAUUCAGUCUUGAGUGGUAGUGCAUGUUGGCAUUAUACAGGUUAAUAGAAAGCAAGCAGUCCCCUAGUUAAGAACUAGUUCAGUUGCUAAUUAUCUUUAACUCAAAUUUGAAUGUAAGUUGGAACUCAUAGUUCAUAGACAGAUGGCAUAUUACUAAAAAUGGCCAAUGGUGUUAUUAAGCUGACUUACUGCUGAAGCCACACAGUGCUUUUAGGAACCACUGAAAACCAUUUGUAAAUUAAAAACAUACUUUCAGCAGUUCCUAAAAGGAUUGCACAGCCUCAGUGGUUAAACUUUUAGUUACAGGCAGCCCAUUUGUAUUUAAGGGUUGUCCUUAAAUUGGAUGUUCUUACCCGGGGAACUGCCUGUAUACUGAAGUCUGGUCUCCAAAGCAGCUGCUGCUAAUGGCUAAUCUGCAUCUUAUAAAAUAAACAUAGAUUCCUGUAUUUUAGAAGAUAGAGUCAAGGGAUGGAGUGUGGUAUGUUUUCUAACAAAGAAACACACCUUUUAUAUAGGAAGAGGAUGCUAAGAAGUCAGGCCUAUUAGCAAAAUAUUUGUGUUGACAGUGAUUCUCUAGCCCUGUCCAGAGAUGUUAUACAAACAUAAAUCCCUUUGAAAUAAGAAGAUGCUUUUUCACUGAGCUAUAUCACUUUCUCGGAACUAACAGGUCCCAGAUUGGAUAAAGUCCCAAUAAAUUGGAUAAUUUAUUACUCUUCAUGGUUGCUAUUAUAGCAUAGAGAUUUAUGUGCCAAUUCUAACAUAACCAUCCUUAAGAAAGCUGUUUCCUGAAAAUUCCAAGAGAGGCCUUUACAAGUUCUAAAAUGCUUCUCUGGCUAAUUAUCCAACAUCUUUACAUUGAUAAGUGAUUCCAAGAUUAAAACACCAUACAAACAGCUAAAUGAAUAAAAAGAACUAAGCACACUUCUCAAACUGAGUUUCUCUAUGCAAUUACCAGGAGUUGAGCACUUUACUAAUAUGAUAACUAGGCAGGAAAUUGUCUCCUUCCAGGAAAGACAUUUGGGCAGAGCAAUUGAGAUCAGGUACUGCUUUUGACAAAAUCUUUCUGUUCCAGACAAUUUAGGACUUUCAAAAUGAAUCCAUAUAGGAUGAGAUAUAAUUGCUGCAAAGCUCUAACUCAAAUCUAUUACCUGAUUCAAUUUGUAAGUAAGCAUAAUACAUUGUUUUGCUGCAAUAAGUUGUUCUGGAAUCCUUUUUUGGGUCCCAUAUUGCCAAUCUUUAAAAAUGUGUUUUUCCUUUAAUGUUACCUACUAGGCUAGACUUUGGACCUUGCUUGUACAUGUGAAAUCCAAGUAACAGUGUCUCCCAGGUUUCAUGCAGUUUAUCAAGUCAUCCUAUAUGCCAAGAAUUGACUAGGAUCUUCUAUACGCAAUGGAUUUCCUGAACAGAAUUUAACAGUGAUCAUGCUUCUGAGACUCCUUGAGAUGUUCCUAAAAUUCUGCAAAAGUUCUUAAGUUGAAGAUAAUGCUCUGAGUGACUCCUUUCUCAUCUAGGUACCAGAUAUGAGGAGCUGCAAAGCGUGCUUCUGUACUAUGGAAUUCCUGCCUUCACUUAAUAAACAACCCAGAAUUUAAAAUAAACAGCAUUCUAUUACUUUCUCCUAAAUUAUGGUUAGAUUUAGCAUUUUAUUAGGUCUCAGCAGCAAAAGGUGAAGUGUGGCUAUGCAUUUUUAAAGUCACAUGAACAAGCUUAUAUUUCAAAGCCGAGAUGAAGAUGCCUACUCUUGCUGGCCUCCUUCCAUCAUUCUUUUUAAAGAAGUUAAGGGGGGAGGGAACAUAUCUGUUACCAAGUAAAUGACAGGAAAUCUGCAUUAGCUGGCUCCAGAAUAUACUGCCCAUUAAAUCUUUAAUGGGAGAAUGGGAUUCAGCAGCUGGCCAGCUUAUAAAAAAUGGAGCUCAGUAUCCCUUUCUCAAGGUUGCCUAGAAACUAGUCAACAGAGUAAUGAAUAACUUGGGGAGCAAGGAGAUGAUGUCAAACUCUUCCUGCUGUCAGUGCUCAGUUGUUUCACUUCAUGCAUUCAUCCCAAUAGCUUUGAGAAGUGGGAAGAGAAUGGGUUCAGUAAACCCAGGCGCUUUCAGAGUUAAACUGAGUGCCUCUGCAAUAAGCCCUAUACUGUAAUUUCAUAUCAAGAUUCUUGAUAUGAACUAGAAAUGUUGAAUUCAGACAACUCAUGCACUAGAAAUGGUGUAUUCAGACAAAGUCCAGUUUAC